UACGAAGGGGGGCUAGCGUUGCUCGGAAUCACUGGGCGUAAAGGGUGCGUAGGCGGGUCUUUUAAGUCAGGGGGUGAAAUCCUGGAGCUCAACUCCAGAACUGCCUUUGAUACUGAAGAUCUUGAGUUCGGGGAGAGGUGAGUGGAACUGCGAGUGUAGAGGUGAAAUUCGUAGAUAUUCGCAAGAACACCAGUGGCGAAGGCGCUCACUGGCCCGAUACUGACGCUGAGGCACAAAGCGUGGGGGAA
rnacentral:rRNA from 1 species